GGUAUUAUGACCGUGCAAAGGUAGCGUAAUCACUUGUCUUUUAAAUAAAGACCUGUAUGAAUGGCUUAACGAGGGGCUUACUGUCUCCCCCCCCCAGUCAAUGAAAUUGAUCUACCCGUGCAGAAGCGGGUACAACCACAUAAGACGAGAAGACCCUAUGGAGCUUCAGACAAAGCUAAAACAUUUUCUAUACUAUAAUAAACCGCUAGGGAUACAAAUAGACUCAAUUGUGUCAAUUAGUACAUGUCUUCGGUUGGGGCGACCAUGGUGGAUAAAAAAGCCACCAUAAAGAUAAAGAAAAUAAGACUAAUCUUAAACCAAGAAGUACACUUCAAAGCAACAGAAAAUCUGACCAUAUGAUCCAGGCCCAUAACCUGAUCAACGAACCAAGUUACCCUAGGGAUAACAGCGCUAUCCUCUCCCAGAGUUCAUAUCGACAAGAGGGUUUACGACCUCGAUGUUGGAUCAGGACAUCCUAAUGGUGCAGCCGCUAUUAAGGGUUCGUUUGUU
rnacentral:rRNA from 1 species